AUGGCCGCCGGAUUCCCUCUCGCGGCGUGCAUCCUCGCCUUCCACCUCUCCCUUCUCCUCUCGCCGUCCUCCGCACUCCCCCGGCUCUCCGAAACGGAGAGCUCCGUAGUCCGCCAUGGCGUGGGCAUCAGGCCCGCCUACCACUUCCUGCCCGCCAAGAACUGGCAGAACGAUCCGAAUGAUUCCUGUCUUGGACCCGUAUUUUCUUUAGAUCAUCCUAAAUCAGCCCAUGCCCAUGAUUGCGAUAGGGCUGCUUUUGUGUCAUGUGUUCCUGUCCUGCCACUGCGUGUGUGCCUGUAUUGGACGUCACUUUGUGUUGCCAUGUAA
rnacentral:rRNA from 1 species